GUGGAAUCAUCAACUCUAUUUGCUUUUGUGAAUAGAGCUUGGUCUUGGAGGUUAAUUGCUGGAUGCAUUAGUGUGUCUGGCUCCUCUUGAAUAUAUUAGCUUGAACCUUUGUGGAUCAGCUUCGGUGUGAUAAUUGUCUACGCCGUCCUGAGAAGCAUAACUGUGGGUUUUGGCUUCCAAUCGUCCUUCACGGGACAAAUUAUUAUGACCUU
rnacentral:misc_RNA from 1 species